rnacentral:rRNA from 1 species
AUAGAACGCUGGCGGCAGGCCUAACACAUGCAAGUCGAGCGGCAGCGGGAAAGUAGCUUGCUACUUUUGCCGGCGAGCGGCGGACGGGUGAGUAAUGCCUGGGAAAUUGCCCAGUCGAGGGGGAUAACAGUUGGAAACGACUGCUAAUACCGCAUACGCCCUACGGGGGAAAGCAGGGGACCUUCGGGCCUUGCGCGAUUGGAUAUGCCCGGGUGGGAUUAGCUAGUUGGUGAGGUAAUGGCUCACCAAGGCGACGAUCCCCAGCUGGUCUGGGAGGAUGACCAGCCACACGGGAACUGGGACACGGUCCAGACUCCUACGGGAGGCAGCAGUGGGGAAUAUUGCACAAUGGGGGAAACCCUGAUGCAGCCAUGCCGCGUGUGUGAAGAAGGCCUUCGGGUCGUAAAGCACUUUCAGCGAGGAGGAAAGGUUGAUGCCUAAUACGUAUCAACUGUGACGUUACUCGCAGAAGAAGCACCGGCUAACUCCGUGCCAGCCGCCGCCGUAA